UGGGGAAUUUUGCACAAUGGGGGGAACCUUGAUGCAGCGACGCCGCGUGAGGGAUGGAGGCCUUCGGGUUGUGAACCUCUUUCGCUCGUGUGCAAGCCGCUAUUUGGGUAGUGGUGAGUGUAGCGGGUAAAGAAGCGCCGGCUAACUACGUGCCAGCAGCCGCGGUAAUACGUAGGGCGCGAGCGUUGUCCGGAUUUAUUGGGCGUAAAGGGCUUGUAGGCGGUUUGUCGCGCCUGUCGUGUAAUCCUCUGGCUUAACUGGGGGUGUGCGGUGGGUACGGGCAGGCUUGAGUGCGGUAGGGGAGAUUGGAAUUCCUGGUGUAGCGGUGGAAUGCGCAGAUAUCAGGAGGAACACCGGUGGCGAAGGAGGGUCUCUGGGCCGUUACUGACGCUGAGGAGCGAAAGCGUGGGGAGCGAACAGG
rnacentral:rRNA from 1 species